GCCCCGGUGGCGGAACGGGUAGACGCUGCGGACUUAAAAUCCGCUGGCCGCAAGGCCAUACAGGUUCGAUUCCUGUCCGGGGCACAA
rnacentral:tRNA from 1 species